rnacentral:rRNA from 1 species
UACGAACUGCGCAAACGUUAUUCGGAAUCACUGGGCUUACAGGGUGCGUAGGCGGCCAGUCAGGUCCGGUGUGAAAUCCCACAGCUCAACUGUGGAAUGGCAUUGGAAACCGGCUGGCUUGAGUGGGCUAGAGGUGCACGGAACUUCCGGUGGAGCGGUGAAAUGUGUUGAGAUCGGAAGGAACACCAGAGGCGAAAGCGGUGCACUGGAGCUUGUCUGACGCUGAGGCACGAAAGCCAGGGGAGCAAACGGG